UGGGAGGAGAUUGGCUAAGGGAGAAGGGUAUUAGGAUCAUUGUAUUGUUGAGAUAAACCUGGACCACAUAGGAUUUUACACCAACUUACUUUUGUGAACCAGCUUCAGGAUUUCUUUUUGCCUCAUUUCACAAUGCUAGAACACAUCACAAAUCAAAUUAAAAAUAAAUACCAAAAGUUUCUUCUAGCUAGAAGGGUCUCCAUCACCACUAAACUUUGUGGCAUCUUCUGAGAUGGGGUCUCCCUGCGUCACCAAGGCUGGUCUCGAAUUCUGGGCUCAAGCUAUCCAUCCACCUAAACUUCCUAAAGUGCUGGGACUACAAGCGUGAGCCACCAUGCCUAGCCUGGAGCUAUUAUUAUUAAUUCAAAGCAUCGAUUAGAAUCAGAAAGAUUCAGAAUUAAAAUCAAGUUAAUUCAACAAAAAAAAUAAAUAUUGAGCCCUUAUCACGUGGGUAGCACUGCGUAAGGUACAACCGGGGUACACAGUUGGGAGAAAGACUUGGUAGUAUAGUCUAAAGGAGGUUCUAAGUCUCAGAUGGCAACAAACAAUAUGAACCAACUCUGAUCUCUAGACAUGUAUUUUGUUUGAUCCAUACAAUGCUUCAGACUUUGAAUUUCUUUUCAACAUUUAGAAGCCAGAAAAUUUUGCAUGAAAAUAAAAAUCUUAAAAAAUGUGCA